AUAUUAGGUCUUUGCUGGCACAAACAUGUUUUGUCUUUGUAUCCCCUAUACUUCCUUGAAGAGAAAAUACUUAGGAAUUAUUUGAUAAAUGGAAAAGCACAUGAAAGAAGGAUGUCUACCCCCAAAAAUAUAUAUAUAUAUAUAAAAUAUAUAUUAGUAAUAACAAACACAAAGAAAAAAACCCAGGUUAAAAAUUAAGUUUUUAAAAAUCACACCAAGAGCAUAUUACUUUUGUGUUAUUCCUGCCAAAAGUUCAUAAACUAAAACUAAACAUGAAAAAAGCAUCAACUAAAAACAAACCAAGAAACAAGCUAUAAAAUAAUUGGUCUCCAGCCUUCAAAUAUCUCAAAAUUGGGAAAAGCAAAGACUGAGGAACUCAUCCAGAUUAAAGCAGACUAGAGACCUAAGAACCAAAUGUAAUGUAUAAUCCCAGAUGGGACCCUGAUCAAUUCUUUUUCUUUCUUCAUUUUAGUAAUGAAUAAUAAUUAUUAUUGUUUUGCUAUAAAGGACAUUAUUGGGACAAUUGAAAUAUUAACAAGAUCUGCAGAUUAGCUAACAUACUGCAUCAAUGUUAAUCUCCUGAUAUUGAUCUUUGUUGUGUGAAUAGAUAAGAGAAUGUCUUUGUUCUUAGAAAAUGCUAGUAGCAUAGUCUCUUAGGCAUAAAGGGACAUCAUGUCUGCAAGUUACUCUUAAAUGCCUCAGAAGAAAAAAACACAUAUGAUGGAAAAAAAUAGUAAAGAAGAUGAGAUACAAAUUUUAACAAUUUGAGGAAACUGGAUGAAAGACAAAAGUUCUCUAGUAUUUUUGCAACUUUUCUAUAAUUCUCAAAUUGUUUCAAACAAAAAAAAGUACAAAAUGAUGUUAUUAAGAUGAAUAACACAGAGAAGAUGGAAAGUCAGAAAUUGUUUUAAAUGAUUUUGUGCACUUGUGUGUACUUUUGAAGAUAAAUGUACAUGAGCACGCAGUCAGGAGCUGCUGUUAGUAAGAGAAGAAACAGUCACUGUUGCUUUGGGAAUAGAGAGUAACCCUGAGGCAGAUACACCUCCAACAAACAGGCCCCCAUUCCUAACUGGAGAGCAUAUUCCUUUUCAAGGAAAAUCUUUCAAGACUUUUCUAUAAAUGCAUGAGACACUCAUUUCAAUCCAAAUCCAAUGUUUGGAACCAACACCCUUGAGAUUUAGUUUAUAUCCAAGUUGAGAAUCCUAAGCGGCAAUCUGGUUUGACUGCUAGAAGAUGAGCACCAACCCAGGAGCUCAGAGGUUUUAAUGAUCACAUGGUAUCCUCAAGAAUUAAUUAUUCUGGUAUCAAAAGAAUGCCAGUUCCCAAACCUCUGUACAUUCUUACAUACUGUGGCAAAUGUCUAAGAUUCAAAAUAGAUAACCUCUAACAGUCAAAGAACAUCCUCAUCCAGUCACAUCAUCAUACAGUACAUAUAUAGUACAUAAUGGAGGCUUGGAUUUAGUCCAGAUAUGCAGACUUAACUCUACACAACUAAUUAUAGUACGUGCCUUUUAAAACUCGGCUCAUUUUAUUAUUUAUUCAAACAAAAACAAUAUUCAAACAAAAAUCCAUAGUAUCUUGCCAACUAAAUGUAAAUUCCACUUAUGUUCCUAUAAUGGAAAUGAUUACAAACAUGUGAAAGGAAACCAAAUUUAAAUUCAGGAGGAAAACAACCAAACUGCUCAAUGCUAACCAGCUUAAACCUAUCAUCCUAAAGAAAACAAAACAGAUUUUGCUCAGCAACAUUGUAUUCAACACAUGGAAAUAAAUCUUUAUAAAAAGUUUCAGUAAUAUUAUUUUACAGGUAUUGGAUACAUACAAACAAUAUAUUUCUAUUUGAAAGUAUAGGAUUGUCUUUGCCUAAAAUACUGACAAAUUGCAUAUUUAAAACCUGUGGGCCAAAUUCUAUGAUAUUCAUUUUGUUUACAGACAAAUGGAAAUUUUAGAACCAUUAUUCCAUAAAGUGAACAGGAACAGCAGGACCAACAAAGAUUUUCCUUCCAUUUUCUUCCUGCAUGUCAUGAAGCAAGGUGGUGAAUGAAGCCAACGUUCUUGGUUCCAACUACUAAUUCCUCAAAUAUGCUUUCCAACUCUCUGCCUCUAGCUAUGAAGUUACUCUUAAAUUCCAGGCCCACAGUCCCCACAAUCUAGUCCAGAUCUUGGUUGGCUACAGUGUUGGUACCACAACUUACCUUCUUCUCUCCCAAACCUCCCUCCUCUACCUGUUUCAUACUUCUAGUAAUGCAGUCAACAUCCUCAAGCACACAAGCUCAAAACCACAGUAUUAGUUUUGACUCUUUCUCAUUCCUCUUGAUUUUUAGACAUAAUCAGUAGCUAAGUUAGCCAAUUCAAUCUUAGCAAUAGUUCCACAUAGGCCCUCUCCUCUCCAUUAUUACUAUUUCCUUAAUUGAGGUCUUCCUUUCACUCUGCAAUGCAACAACCUUUGUUUCCUCAACCCCAGUAUUUCACCUUUCCUGACACACAGCCUGUAAAUAAUUAUCCCUAUGGAUUUAAAAAAAAAAAAAGGCAUCCUGUCAAUGCAUAUUUGUAGUCUCCACCUAGCAGAGAACUUGGCAUAUAAAUACUCAAAUGUUCAUUGAAUGAACCAAUCCUCCCAUUCUCUGAAAGCAGAGAGCACUUUUUUCCAUGUCUCUUAUCACUUGUGUUCUACAAGAAUUAUUUAUAUACAUGUACAGGUCCACAAGUCCUUAUCUGAAUGAACUGCUUCAGGCUGAUGUGUUUUGGAAUUUGGAAUCAGAUUUUAGAAAGGAAAUAUAAUACAUAAAACAUGUAUUCCAUAUUACAAAAGGCCCCCAAUGGUGCAACAAUCUAUAAACGUGCAUAUUACUUCUAUACUUGUCUAACUCACACUAGCUGAGUUAAAGACAAUCAACAGCAUCAUAUAAGUUCAAGUCACACUUCACCACCAGUGAAUCAUGAGAAAAAAAACUGUUUAUUUUUAGAGCUUUUUGGUUUCUGGAGUUUCAGAUAAGAGUACCUAUGUUUUAAUUUUCAAGAGCAGACUAUUCUGUAGGCCACAUAAAUCCUCUGAUUCUUUAUCUCCCUUAUGCCUUUAUGUCAUCUUUCAUUUCCUCCGAUUUUUUACCGUUGCUUAGAACAAUAAAAUAGGAUUCAAAGGGUUUACUACAACAACUUCUGGCUGGGUUUAGAAAUUAAUAGUAAUAAAUACUAUAAAAUAUGUUAGUUAUUUAUGAAAUAUCUCAGUAUCAUAUUAUACUUACAUAUUUCACUCAUACUAAACAAAAAAUAAACAUCACUAUCCAUACAAUAAACAUUAUUUUAAUAGAAGGUAAAGCAUCAAUUUCAGAACCUUUUUUUUAAAAGGCAGCCAUACUAUUUUCUAAAACUAUGCUUUCUACAUGGCUUUUAGCACUCAUUCCAACAUAUACAGAAUCAGGCUAGUUAUUAUGUGUUAUUGACUAUACUAGAAGCUAGAAAUAGACAAACUGCAGCCAUUUCUCAGGAUUAAGCCCAAAGUCAAAUGAGAGAAAACAUACAAUUAUAAAUGACCAUAAUACAGUAAGAUAACUGUGACAAGCAACAGACUCUGCUGAAAGGGAAUUCAGGGACUUACUGCUCUACCUCCUAUCCAUUUUCAUCUUUUCAACCUAAUUGAAGAAUCUCUAGGAAAAUAAAGGUGAGGUUAGAAUAUUCCAUAAUUAAAGUGUGUGCCAUGAUUAAGGAUGUGAGUUACACAGCAGAUGCAAAAGAUCUGACAGAAUAUUUUUUCUUUAUUCUUUUUAUCCUCUAAUUUCUCUUUCUUCACAAAAUGGUACCAGGGUCUCUUUGGACCUCCACAUCAGUGAAAAGAAAUAUGACUGCUUUCUUUCUGCGGCAAGAUGUUUUAUAUUGGGUGCAUGGCACUCUAAUAGAUAAUUUCCCUAGAUUAGAUAAACAAACACCUUUGACCAUAAUCUGUAUAUAUCUAGAAAAUAGUGAUUUUAUAUUGAUAAUUAAGAUAAUCCAAAUUAUUGUUUUGGUAUGAAUAAAAUAAUUUUGUAACUGUCAAAUAUCAUGACUUAAAAAUACUUCAUUUUGACUUGAUGAAUUUGCCUUAUGUUUAAGAAGCUGAAGAUUAGAUAAAGAUGCAUAUAGCCAAGAUGACUGUUUAAACUACUUUCAAGGAUUACAAUGAAAUCUUAAAACAGGUUAUUUUCAUUUCAAUUGAUUCCCUACAUCUCUUACACACACACACAAACACACACACACACACACACACACACACCCCCCUUUGGACAUUCCCAAACCUAUUCAUUCCCACGGGAAAAGAAAAAAAACUUACCUAAAAAGGUAAGAUUUACCUACCUUCAAAGGUCUUUAAUUGUUAAAAAGAUACUUUAUUUACUAAGAAUUACCUUAGAAUAUUAUAAAAUCAGGGCUAUAACUUACUCCACUUAGCCCCAAUAUUUCCGCCUU
rnacentral:lncRNA from 1 species